GCCUCCGAGACAUUUUAUUAAAUUAAAACGACACUGAGACGAUUAACAUGACCAUUGCAUAAAGAUGACACGCACAAAUCGAAAAAUAGUCAAAAUUUUA